UAGGGAAUCUUCGGCAAUGGACGGAAGUCUGACCGAGCAACGCCGCGUGAGUGAAGAAGGUUUUCGGAUCGUAAAGCUCUGUUGUUAGAGAAGAACGUUGGUAGGAGUGGAAAAUCUACCAAGUGACGGUAACUAACCAGAAAGGGACGGCUAACUACGUGCCAGCAGCCGCGGUAAUACGUAGGUCCCGAGCGUUGUCCGGAUUUAUUGGGCGUAAAGCGAGCGCAGGCGGUUCUUUAAGUCUGAAGUUAAAGGCAGUGGCUUAACCAUUGUACGCUUUGGAAACUGGAGGACUUGAGUGCAGAAGGGGAGGGUGGAAUUCCAUGUGUAGCGGUGAAAUGCGUAGAUAUAUGGAGGAACACCGGUGGCGAAAGCGGAUCGCUGGUCUGUAACUGACGCUGAGGCUCGAAAGCGUGGGGAGCAAGCAGG
rnacentral:rRNA from 1 species